rnacentral:rRNA from 1 species
GAUCCUGGCUCAGGAUGAACGCUGGCGGCGUGCCUAAUACAUGCAAGUCGAGCGAGAAUCAUUUGAUCGGAGAUUCGUCGAAGAGAGAAUGAGGAAAGCGGCGGACGGGUGAGUAACGCGUAGGCAACCUGCCCUUAGCAGAGGGAUAGCCAUUGGAAACGAUGAUUAAAACCUCAUAAUGCCAAACCUGCACAUGUGGGUCUGGCCAAAGAUUUAUCGGCUAAGGAUGGGCCUGCGUCUGAUUAACUAGUUGGUGAGGUAACGGCCCACCAAGGUGACGAUCAGUAGCCGACCUGAGAGGGUGAUCGGCCACAUUGGAACUGAGACACGGUCCAAACUUCUACGGAAGGCAGCAGUAAGGAAUCUUGCACAAUGGGGGAAACCCUGAUGCAGCAACGCCGCGUGAACGAUGAAGGCCUUAGGGUUGUAAAGUUCUGAUCUGGGGGAAGAAGAAGUGACGGUACCCCAGGAGAAAGCCCCGGCUAAAUACGUGCC